rnacentral:rRNA from 1 species
AUAACACUUGGAAACAGGUGCUAAUACCGCAUAACCAUAGUUACCGCAUGGUAACUAUGUAAAAAGUGGCUAUGCUACCGCUUUUGGAUGGGCCCGCGGCGCAUUAGCUAGUUGGUGGGGUAAAGGCUUACCAAGGCAAUGAUGCGUAGCCGAACUGAGAGGUUGAUCGGCCACAUUGGGACUGAGACACGGCCCAAACUCCUACGGGAGGCAGCAGUAGGGAAUCUUCCACAAUGGGCGAAAGCCUGAUGGAGCAACGCCGCGUGGGUGAAGAAGGUCUUCGGAUCGUAAAACCCUGUUGUUAGAGAAGAAAGUGCGUGAGAGUAACUGUUCACGUUUCGACGGUAUCUAACCAGAAAGCCACGGCUAACUACGUGCCAGCAGCCGCGGUAAUACGUAGGUGGCAAGCGUUAUCCGGAUUUAUUGGGCGUAAAGGGAACGCAGGCGGUCUUUUAAGUCUGAUGUGAAAGCCUUCGGCUUAACCGGAGUAGUGCAUUGGAAACUGGGAGACUUGAGUGCAGAAGAGGAGAGUGGAACUCCAUGUGUAGCGGUGAAAUGCGUAGAUAUAUGGAAGAACACCAGUGGCGAAAGCGGCUCUCUGGUCUGUAACUGACGCUGAGGUUCGAAAGCGUGGGUAGCAAACAGGAUUAGAUACCCUGGUAGUCCACGCCGUAAACGAUGAAUGCUAAGUGUUGGAGGGUUUCCGCCCUUCAGUG